GUGGCAUUAGCUCAAUGGCAGAGCACUGCCCUGUGGAGGCAGGUGUUGCCGGUUCGAAUCCGGUAUGCCACC
rnacentral:tRNA from 1 species